rnacentral:lncRNA from 1 species
GAAACCUGGAGAUGUGCGUAAAAUUCAGAUGCCGGUAUUCCCGAACUUCCCCAGGCCUCAGCAUAUCUCGGCGGCCUGUGGACAGAUGGGAGGCUACCAAUCGCUCCGGCGUCCGCAGCCCGACCCCUGCCGCCAGACCCCGGACGUCUUCCGGAUAAUAAAGUUCCCGCUCUAAUUCAUUUUCCCUAAUCUGGACGCCCCUAAUCUACAGCUUUUAUUGCGCCCAGUUAAAAGUCGAGGGAAUUCGCUGUCCCUCCGCGCUCGGAUAAUUACCCCUAAAUGGCCACGGCAGCCCCUUGUGUUUCCUGGAGAUUAGAACCCCGCAGUCAUCAAUGGCAGGGCCGAGUGAGCCGCCAAUCACCUCCGCUCACUCCCUGAGAGCCGCUGGCCUGGGCCGCAGGAGGAGAGGCCAUAAAGCGACAGGCGCAGAAAAUGGCCAAGCCCCGACCCCGCUUCAGGCA